rnacentral:rRNA from 1 species
UGGUGGAGUGAUUUGUCUGCUUAAUUGCGCUAACGAACGAGACCUCAGCCUACUAACUAGUCUUACUACGCCCUGCGUAUGUAACUGACUUCUUAGAGGGACUAUCGGUGCUAAACCGAUGGAAGUUUGAGGCAAUAACA